GCGGAUGUGGCGGAAUAGGCAGACGCGUGCGUUUCAGGGGCGUAUACCGCAAGGUGUGAGGGUUCGACUCCCUCUAUCCGCA
rnacentral:tRNA from 1 species